rnacentral:lncRNA from 1 species
GGUGUGAGAGAGACCAGAAUCUUUAUUAUUAAGUAAUAAUGUUUUUGUGCUGUUGUCUAAAUUAGGGCUUGUUUGUCUUUAACAGUGUUGGGCAACAUAAUGUUGUGGCUGGAAAUGGUUAAACUUUCUAGUGAGCCAUCCAAAAUAGAGGAGAAGUUGUGAGAAUCCCAUCAGAAAAAGGGAAAACACCAUAGUAUUGGAGCAACAAUUUUCCAGGAAUAUACAUUGUAUCUUGGGACAGUUACCAGAGAUUAACAAAGCAUCCUGCUGUGAGGUACCAUUGGAAAGACAGCAUUCUUUCACUUGGACAGCCCUCUAGUGCUCUCCUUUGUGUACAAGUCCACACUGGUGCUGUUUAAUGGAUCCUGGGAGUCUACCAGCUGAGCCCCUGCUUUCCUGGAAAAAUCUAUUAGCUGGAAUGUGUGGUUUCCCAAUAUUACCUUUCAAGAUCUGGAGGUUCCGUGCAAUCCAGAGCGCUACAUCUCUUCUAGUGGACUCGGUCAUGUGUUGAUUUUAACCUGACUCCACGAAGAGUGUUGCCCUGUUUACUGGCUGAAGAGAGAUCCCAGCAAUGCCCAGGAGACUUACACAGCAACUAAGGAGUCAUAAUCCUGUGGCAUAAUGAAGGCGAGGGUUGAUUCA